rnacentral:lncRNA from 1 species
UCUCUCUUCCCGUUACAACUUUCUCUCCACCCCAUUCUCCCCCCACCCCCACCCCUACCCCUCUAUCCUUCCUUUUCAUUUUCUUUUUCUCCACCUCAUUUUUUUUUGUCUUCCUUUCCAUUUUCCUCCCCUACCCUCUCUCCCCAUCCCCAGCUCAGACUGCCACAGGACCACACCCCUUUCCCCUCUUCAUUUUCCUCUCUUUUUUUUUUUUUUUCUCUUUUGUUUCUUCUUUUCCUCUUCCCCACACCCAUUUCUUCCCUCACCCAAAAAGCCAUCCAAUCUCACCGCCGCCCGUAGCACCGUCGACGCCACUGCCGCCCGGCGACGUAACUGCCGGCUGGCAACCCCCCUUCCACCCAUCUCACAUUUCCCCAUUUUCUUCAAAUUUAUGUGAGUUUAUUUUUUUAUUUUAUUUUAUUAUUAUUAUUAUUAUUAUUUAAUUUUUACAGUAAUUUAUUAUUGAUUAUUAAGAUUGUUUGUUUGAGCUAAUUUAUAUUAUUUUUGGGUUUGCGUUUACUUGGGGGUAUUAUUUCUAAGCUUUGGGUUAAGUUUAGAUAGUUUGGAACCUUGUAUUUUGAUUCGGGUCUUGUUUGUUAAUGUAUGUUUUAUUUAGAUUUAGUAAUAAUUGGAUUUUGGAUUUGAUUUGCAUGUUAAAUUAGGUUUGGAUCAUGGGUAUUAAAUUUAGGUUUAAUUAAAUUUAUUUUGUUUUAUGAUAUUUCGGGCUUGACUAAAUUGCGUGAUUAUUGGAUAAGGAUAUUCAAAUGAGAGAUAUUUUUGUUGGGUAUAUUAAUUAAUUUGGAUUUUUUUCAUUUGUAAAAUUUAUUGGACCAAUUUAAAAUUUGAACUUGAGCUUGAAUAAUUAUUUUGGGCUCCGCAUAUUUCUGGAUAUUUACAUCUGAGCUCAUUUUUGUUUUACAUGGAUUGCACGGAUUGCACGGAUAUGUCACAAGAACCAAAUUUCAUGGAAGAAAAUAAGGUUUACGAAAGUUGUAAAUGGGGCAUUGAGCUUGUUGUAGGCUUGUCAAGGUACAUAUUUUAUUUCCUUAUUUCUAUUUAAUUUAAUUUUUAUUAGUUCAUGUAAAUAUUUUGAUGUAUAUAGGUGCAUGCUGAAUUGAAUAGUUGAUAACUUAAAAUUUUUGUUUUAAUAAAAGGAAUAGUUAGCAAUUACAUUUUAAUAAAAACAAUAGUUUAGAAAAUAUUAUUUUUAAUAAAAGAAAGUUUUUUUUUCUAUAAAAUUUCAAAAAAAUGUUUUUAGGAAAAUCCAGAAAAUUAUUUUUAAUAAAAUUCAAAAAAUUGUUUUUACCAACUAUUGUUUGGAAAUUUAUUUGUUUAAUAAAAUUUGUCUAAAAAAUUGUUUUGUAAAUAAAAAUUGUCCCAAAAAGUGAUUUUUAAAUAAAUUAUGUUUCCUUAGUUAGAAUUAGAAUGAGAUUAAAAGUAUUUUUUAUAAAUAGAGAUUUUAAAUAUUUUUUUUUAUGAGAUUAGGAUGAGAGUCUUUUGCAAAUUGAAGUUGUAGAAAUCAUUUUUAUUGAUAAAGUUGGGUUGAAAAUAUUUUUGUAAAUAAAAUUUGUAAAGAAAUUAAUUCCUUUGUAAAUAAAAUCAAAUUAAAAUACUUUUGCAAAUAAAGUUUUAAAAUUUCAUUCUUUUUAUGGUAAAAGUAAAAUCUUUUUAUUGCAAAAUUGAAAAUUUUGUAAUAAAUUUUUUUUAUAAUUUUUAUUGAUAAAGUUGGGUUGAAAAUAUUUUUGUAAAUAAAAUUUGUAAAGAAAUUAAUUCCUUUGUAAAUAAAAUCAAAUUAAAAUACUUUUGCAAAUAAAGUUUUAAAAUUUCAUUCUUUUUAUGGUAAAAGUAAAAUCUUUUUAUUGCAAAAUUGAAAAUUUUGUAAUAAAUUUUUUUUAUACUUUUUUUAAAAAUUGAACACAAAUAAAAUUGAAUUAAACCAUUUAUUGGAAAUGAAUUGAAACAUUUUUAUAAAUAAAUUAAUUAAAACCAUUCAUUUGAAAUUGUUUUUAAUUUAAAAUAUUCUUUUUUUAAUUAGAUUAAUAAAUCAAUUUGAUUAAUUAUCUUGUCAUUUACCUUGUAUACUAUUAUAAUUUACUUUUAUGAUUAUUUUUUUGUACAUUGAUUUGUGUUCUUAAUUUUGAUAUUCAUGAUUAAUUAAUUAAUUACCAUAAUUCUCUUAAUUCACUUACUAAAAAUCGUAGGUAUACGAGCCAUAAUUAAUUAAUUAAUUAUCAUAAUUCCUUCAAUUCGCUUACUAUAAACCAAAUAGGUAAAUAACCCUCAAAUUUUAGAUUUAGUUUUUGUAAAUAUGUCUUUUUCCAAAAAAUGAGUCAGAGUUUUUUUUCUCAUUUUGUUUUUCCUUUUAAAAAUAAAUUAAAAUAAGCAGCAACUUUAAUUUUUUUUAAAAAAAUCAAUUUUUCACAAAUAAAAAAAGAGAGUCUCGCCGUUUAGAGUGGGGACGCACUUGAAAAAUGUGGAUCUGCAAUUAUCUUUUGAAAAAAAAAAAUAUGAUUUUGUUUUUAAAUAAUUUUAAAAUUUAAUUGAAAUUAUCUAUUCAAAAGAUAAUUUUCAAUUCAAUUCCUUAAUAAUGCAAUGGUUUUGCGAAUAGUUUCAAAAGUAUUAUAUUUUAAUAAAUAUUUUUAAAAUGCUUUUAUUUUUUUUUUCAAAGCCCCUUGAAAAAAAGUUCCUUUUCAAAAGUGGCUGUUUGCCUUGAUUUUUGAUAAAUUAAAAGAAUCAUUUGUAAAAAAUUGAUAGUUUAAUUAUUGAUAAAAUUAUGACAUUUUGUAUCACAUAAGUUUAAAAAAAAAGAAAAAAAAGGUCAUAUAGUUCUUUGUCUUAAAAUCAUGUUUUCAAGACACAAUUUUAAUAUAUCAUUAUGAAGUAAUGUAUUGAAACUGGAUGAUAAUGAAACAAAUUAUUUAAGGUAUCCGCUCUACCUUGCCCUUAAUGAAAUGAAUUUAAAAUUAAAAUAAAUAGAUUAAGAGUAGGUUUGUGAUUCGAGGCAUUACCUUAUCCCUCUAUUCCCCGAUUAUAUAUAGCUAAUUUUAAAAAAUAAUUUAAUUUAAUUUUUUAUGUUCCAAUUUUUAACACAAAUUAUUUUUCAAUAACACAAGUUAUAAAAAAAAUUAUAAUAUUUUAUUUAUUUAUAAUAUAUAUUUUUAAUAAAUAAAAAAAAAGAAGUUAAAAUUAAUUGUUUAAAAAAAUUGAAAAUUAAAAGAAAUUACACGGGGUGGAACCCGCCUCACCUUGUUUAAAUGUUUUUAUUAGAGUGGGAAUGAUAAUUACUUGGGACCCAACCCGUCCCAAAGCCUCGAAGAUAUGAUUUCAUUACAUUAUUAAUAAAGUAUUAUGAAGUUGUGAUGAAGACAUAAUUUUAGUAUUUUAUCAAGAAGUUGUGUAUUAAAGACACCUUUUUAGUUUUUUUUGUUCCCCC